GACGAACGCUGGCGGCGUGCCUAACACAUGCAAGUCGAGCGAGGAGAGUUCCUUCGGGAACAAACCUAGCGGCGGACGGGUGAGUAACACGUGGGCAACCUGCCUUGUAGAGGGGAAUAGCCUUCCGAAGGAAGAUUAAUACCGCAUAACAUUACAGUUUCGCAUGAAACAGUAAUUAAAGGAGUAAUCCGCUACAAGAUGGGCCCGCGGCGCAUUAGCUAGUUGGUGAGGUAAUGGCUCACCAAGGCGACGAUGCGUAGCCGACCUGAGAGGGUGAUCGGCCACAUUGGGACUGAGACACGGCCCAGACUCCUACGGGAGGCAGCAGUGGGGAAUAUUGCACAAUGGGGGAAACCCUGAUGCAGCAACGCCGCGUGAGUGAUGAAGGUUUUCGGAUCGUAAAGCUCUGUCUUCGGGGACGAUAAUGACGGUACCCGAGGAGGAAGCCACGGCUAACUACGUG
rnacentral:rRNA from 1 species